rnacentral:rRNA from 1 species
UACGUAGGGUGCGAGCGUUGUCCGGAAUUAUUGGGCGUAAAGAGCUUGUAGGCGGUCUGUCGCGUCUGCUGUGAAAAUCCGGGGCUCGACCCCGGACUUGCAGUGGGUACGGGCAGACUAGAGUGAGGUAGGGGAGACUGGAAUUCCUGGUGUAGCGGUGAAAUGCGCAGAUAUCAGGAGGAACACCGAUGGCGAAGGCAGGUCUCUGGGCCACUACUGACGCUGAGAAGCGAAAGCAUGGGGAGCGAACAGG